rnacentral:rRNA from 1 species
CAGUCGCCGCGGUAAUACCAGCAGCCCAAGUGGUGGUCGCGAUUAUUGGGCCUAAAGCGCUCGUAGCCGGGCCGGUAAGUCCCUUGUGAAAUCGGACGGCCUAACCGUUCGACGUGCAAGGGAUACUGUCGGUCUUGAGGCCGGGAGACGUCCGAGGUACACCGGGGAUAGCGGUGAAAUGUUCUAAUCCUCGGGGGACCACCGGUGGCGAAGGCGACUAUCUGGGCCAACACUGACACUGAGGCACGAAAGCGUGGGGAGCAAACAGGAUUAGAUACCCGAGUAGUCCCUGUCUCUUAUA